rnacentral:rRNA from 1 species
UACAGAGGUGGCAAGCGUUGUUCGGAAUUACUGGGCGUAAAGGGCGCGUAGGCGGUCUGUUGCGUCGGGAGUGAAAACUCAGGGCUUAACCCUGAGCCUGCUUCCGAUACGGGCAGACUAGAGGUAUGCAGGGGGAGAACGGAAUUCCUGGUGUAGCGGUGAAAUGCGCAGAUAUCAGGAGGAACACCGGUGGCGAAGGCGGUUCUCUGGGCAUUACCUGACGCUGAGGAGCGAAAGUGUGGGGAGCGAACAGG